rnacentral:rRNA from 1 species
AUUGAACGCUGGCGGCAGGCCUAACACAUGCAAGUCGAGCGGAUGAAGGGAGCUUGCUCCUGGAUUCAGCGGCGGACGGGUGAGUAAUGCCUAGGAAUCUGCCUGGUAGUGGGGGAUAACGUCCGGAAACGGGCGCUAAUACCGCAUACGUCCUGAGGGAGAAAGUGGGGGAUUUUCGGACCUCACGCUAUCAGAUGAGCCUAGGUCGGAUUAGCUAGUUGGUGGGGUAAAGGCCUACCAAGGCGACGAUCCGUAACUGGUCUGAGAGGAUGAUCAGUCACACUGGAACUGAGACACGGUCCAGACUCCUACGGGAGGCAGCAGUGGGGAAUAUUGGACAAUGGGCGAAAGCCUGAUCCAGCCAUGCCGCGUGUGUGAAGAAGGUCUUCGGAUUGUAAAGCACUUUAAGUUGGGAGGAAGGGAAGUAAGUUAAUACCUUGCUGUUUUGACGUUACCAACAGAAUAAGCACCGGCUAACUUCGUG